GCCAGGCGUGGUGGCUCACGCCUGUAAUCCCAGUACUUUCGGAGGCCGAGGCGGGUGGAUCACCUGAGGUCAGGAGUUCCAGACCUAGCCUGGUCAACAUGGUGAAAACCCGUCUCUA
rnacentral:SRP_RNA from 1 species